rnacentral:rRNA from 1 species
GACGAAUGCUGGCGGCGUGCUUAACACAUGCAAGUCGAACGGAAAGGCCCUGCUUGCAGGGUACUCGAGUGGCGAACGGGUGAGUAACACGUGGGUGAUCUGCCCUGCACUUCGGGAUAAGCCUGGGAAACUGGGUCUAAUACCGGAUAGGAGCCAUUUUUAGUGUGAUGGUUGGAAAGUUUUUUCGGUGUAGGAUGAGCUCGCGGCCUAUCAGCUUGUUGGUGGGGUAAUGGCCUACCAAGGCGGCGACGGGUAGCCGGCCUGAGAGGGUGGACGGCCACAUUGGGACUGAGAUACGGCCCAGACUCCUACGGGAGGCAGCAGUGGGGAAUAUUGCACAAUGGGCGCAAGCCUGAUGCAGCGACGCCGCGUGGGGGAUGACGGCCUUCGGGUUGUAAACUCCUUUCGCUAGGGACGAAGCUUUUGUGACGGUACCUAGAGAAGAAGCACCGGCUAACUACGUG